UACGAAGGGGGCGAGCGUUGUUCGGAUUUACUGGGCGUAAAGGGCGCGCAGGCGGCUCAUUUUGUCAGGCGUGAAAGCCCUGGGCUCAACCCGGGAAUUGCGCUUGAUACUGGGGCGCUUGAAUCCAGGAGAGGUUGGUGGAAUUCCCAGUGUAGAGGUGAAAUUCGUAGAGAUUGGGAAGAACACCGGUGGCGAAGGCGGCCAACUGGACUGGUAUUGACGCUGAGGCGCGAAAGCGUGGGGAGCAAACAGG
rnacentral:rRNA from 1 species